rnacentral:rRNA from 1 species
AGCUCCAACAGCGUAUAUUAAAGUUGCUGCAGUUAAAACGUUCGUAGUUGUUGUCAACUAUCGGUUAGGAUUCGCGUCCAAUUAGUUUAGCGGGAGUCCCUCCCGCCAAAGAAAAGAUUAGUGUUCCAAACAAUCGGUAUUUAACCAGAGCGAAGAAGAUGCUUACCACAUCUUCAUGUUACUAAAUAGAAAUUCAAGGGGGUAUACGUGCUCUAAUGUCAGAGGUGAAAUUCCUGGAUUUUUGGAAGACGAUCAAUUGCGAAAGCACUCACCAAACGACUUUUCU